UUUCCUCUCGAUCCGUCCUGGAUAGGCUGAUUUGUAAAAGAAGUUUUUCAUAACACCCUAUUCAUAUUAGCAUAACAUAGAGAUUCAAUUUUGCAAAACACGCCCUAUUUUUAGCAUUUCAGCUCAGCAUUUUUCAUAAAACACCCUAGUUCCUAUCUCCUAGAGUUUCUUAGCGGCGGCCGGCGGAUCUGUGUUGAGGCCGUGUUGAACGCUGAGGAGUCGAGGGCAGUGGCAUAGGCGGGGGAGGCGUUUCUUGGUGGCUGGCGCAGUGAUGCCACGGAGGAAUAAGGGCAGCGAACCGGUGAGUGUUGCGGGCAGGGGAAGCACGAAUGCGCGGCAAGCAGCUCCUUGGAUUAGAUCGCCGCCCCCUCCCUGCGAAGAGCUCUCCUCCACCCUAAGAUUCUCUGUCUGCAUCCGCCGCUGCUAGAGUCCUGCAGCCAGGGUGGCGUCUUGGCAGCCAACCCAUGAAGAUUUAGGUAUUGUGCUUUUCGUAGGACCCUCAAAAGCACUGGUGAGAGAACUGAUAGCUGAUUCUUUGGAUGAUGUCUUUGAGAAAUCAGACCCAACGGAUUUUGGGAAGAGUUUCCGGACAGCAGGGGGAGGGGUGGAAAGAUUUCGGGUACUUGGAUUCUCAAAUGCAGAAGCUAUUGCAGUGAAAGCUGGAGAUCUUCCUCGGACACGGUGACGUUCUGGACUGUGGGACAUACUUCUUGUGCGCUGAGAUUUAUCUUGUCCUGCGUUCCUUCCUGAAAAUGCUGCUGUUCGCCUUUUGGGUUUCUGGCAACACAUAACAAACAUUCAGGUAAGUUAAUCUAUAUAGAUUGAAAGAGGGGUCACUAUAUUGCUUACUACUAGAAAAUUUCCCUAGUUAGAAAGGCACUUAGACAAUACAUCACCAAACAUGUAGCUGUAUAAAAAUGUACAACUGGGCAAGAAAAAAGAGAUCAUCAAAUGCUAGCUGCCUGUAACACUUAUCUCAAA